rnacentral:rRNA from 1 species
CAGCCGCCACGGUAAUACAGAGGAUGCAAGCGUUAUCCGGAAUGAUUGGGCGUAAAGCGUGCGCAGGCGGUUCGUUAAGACAGAUGUGAAAUCCCCGGGCUUAACCUGGGAACUGCAUUUGUGACUGGCGAGCUAGAGUAUGGCAGAGGGGGGUAGAAUUCCACGUGUAGCAGUGAAAUGCGUAGAGAUGUGGAGGAAUACCGAUGGCGAAGGCAGCCCCCUGGGCCAAUACUGACGCUCAUGCACGAAAGCGUGGGGAGCAAACAGGAUUAGAUACCCCGGUAGUCCCUGUCUCUUAUAC